rnacentral:lncRNA from 1 species
UCUAGAUUCUCUUUUCCCCUGGUAACAGCCAACCUCUAUGAAUUUCUCUUUCACAAUUCUUAUCAUUUUUACUUUAAUCUUAUCUUCUCCUACCUCAUAAACAUAACAUCCUACACCACUUCUAUUCUUUCUUUGUCCACAAUAUAAAAUUAUAAACCUUUUUGAAACUUACUAUUUGUAUUGUAGACAAUAAUUGAACACAUAAUUUCUGUUCAUUGCAACAAAACUCUAGAUAUCUUAAUAGGAACUAUUUUGUUUAAGGCCGUAUAGUGUUUGCAUUUAGUACUGUUAGUAUUGGUCUCCCCCUUUAAAGGCAAGGAACUGAAAACCUUCAGGAAUGGUAUGAGUGUACAGGGAAGAAACUGUAAUGCCUCAGAUUCACACUGCUAGAUGGGCAGAUGCAUGAACAACAUGGAAAAACAAUGUAUGCCCCAAACUAAGAUGGUCCAAUAAUAAAAUCCAUUGACAACAUAGUAGAAGAAAUGUGAAAUGUCAGGGAAGAAGUUUGGAAUGUGCAUAAUUAAACUGAUCUGUGACAUAAAGAAUGAUAUAAGGAAUGAAAUCAGAGAUAAAUUUCGGGAGAUGAACAAAUAUAUCAAUAAAAUGAGAUCCUGAAAAGAAAUCAAGCAGAAAUUCUCAAAAUAAAGGAAUCAAUAAACUAAAUUAAAAAUUCAAUUGAAAGCACCAUGAACAGACUAGAUCACUUGCAAACAGAGUUUCGGGCAAUGAACAUGAAAUAUACAAUGUUGAAAAUAAAGUUGACCAUGCAGAGAAGAUGGUAAGAAACCAUGAAGAGAACUUCCAAGAGUUAUGAGAUAACAUGAAAAGACCAAGUUUAAGAUUUAUCAGGAUAGAUGAAGGCACAGAUAUACAAACCAAAGGAAUGCACAAUCUUUGCAAUGAAAUAAUAUCAGAAAACUUCUCAAACCUAAAGAUGGAAUGGAAAUUCAAAUACAAGAGACCUAUAGAACCCCAAAUGUACAAAAUAAAACAUACAUACACCAAGGCACAUUAUAAUGAAAAUGCUUUACAUACAGAAUAAGAAUAGAAUUUUAAAAGUGUGAGAAAAAUAUCAUAUUAUGUAUAGGUGGAAAACUAUUUGGAUCUCAGCUGAUUUCCUCAACUCAGACCCUCAAGACUAGGAGGUUCUGGAACAAUAUAUACCAAGCUCUGAAAGAAAAUGGACGCCAACCUAGAAUUCUACAUCCAGCAAAAUUAAGCUUAAGAUUUGAAAUUGAAGUAAAAAUCUUCCAUGAUAAAUAAAAGUUAAACAACUAGAAAGGAUGCACUACAGAACCUUCUCAACAAAAUAUUCAAUAAAGAUGAGAUGAAAAAAAAAGUAAAAAUCAGCAAAGGGAAAAACUACAUUAGAUUAACAGUCAACCAAAGGAUAAACUAAUUCAAAUUAAAAAUGAGAAAUAAACAAAAAUAACCAGGAAUAAAAAU